UGAGAGAGCGAAGCGGCGGGCGCUCUGCCAGGCGGCGGCUCGGCGCCCAGUUCGCCGGCAUCCAUGGCGGCUCGGCGGCUCCGCUCGCCGGAGUAGCAUGCAGCGGAGAGAUCCCGCGCGCUACUCCGUCGAGCGUGGCUACCCGUGCUGCGCGCGUGGCAUUAGGCAGCGGUGCAACGGCGAGAGGGGAGACGACAGAGACGUGCGGGGCGCGGAGACCGAGCGGCGUCUUAGUCCUUAAGGGCGGCACGGCGGGGCACAUCUUCCCGCGCGUCUUCUCCGACGGGAGUCAACGGCGGCGCGGCUUCGGCGUGCGAAUCCCGGAGGGUAGGAGGCGACGACGCGGCCAUUAGUCCAAUGGCUGCACCUUGGGUCCUUCAUGGCCGGGGAAGGACAACACCAGGAUUACGUGAUGAGCAGCAGCAGCGUCGCUCACCAGCUGGGGCUCUGUGCAGCUGCCGUGAGCCUCCUGCAGUGUGAAGCUUGUUGGGGAAGAAGCAGCAGCAGGAAGAUGGACAUGCAGGGUGCUGCUGGCACUGCCCUGGAGGUGGCCGGUGGUGGUAGACGGUCUUCCAGCCCAUCAGCUCCCUCUUUUAGGAUCGGUUGUUAGCACUCGGGGUUUUAACCCGUUUGUGUUUUUUCUUAUCUGAAGAGGUACGUGACCUCUUCCUUUUAUAUGAGGGGCUGAUGGACCGGGGACCGAAACCAAACGUUGGGUUUGGGUGCCCCCCGAUCAAAGCACCAAUCUGGGAUUGGACUCCCCCUUUUAUUUCUGUCUAUAACAACCUGAGAUCAGUUCCAACAUUGUUCUCAAAUCAAAGGCACAUUUUAUCAGACACAAGACAAGUCUGUUAGCUGAACACUCAAAGAACAGGCGGUUGGUAUUUUCCUCAUGUCCACAGAACACACAUUCUUUUCCUCCUUUCCACCCUUUUUUGAUCAAAUUAUCUUUGGUUAGAAUACUCUUGCGAGCUAGCAGCCAGAAGAACAUUUUGAUUUUAGCAGGGGUUUUCACCUUCCACAAGAACUUGUGUGGGAAACCCACAUCAGUCUUAAUGAGAAACAUAUAUAAAUAUUUAACAGAAAAUAUUCUGCCACUAGUUAGCAUCCACUGUGGUUUGUCUUUUCCAUCAUACAUCCUAAUCUCUUCACAUCUAGUUUUGAGGUUAGCUCACAAGUCUGCAGAAUCACCAAUCAGAUUUCUUCUAAAUGAGAAAUUAUCCCAGCCUUUGUCAAUGGCCUCAGCAACAGAAAUCUUGUUAUCAAAACUAAUAUUAUACAGUCUGGGGUAAGCAUCUUUCAGUGAUUUGUUUCCCACCCACCAGUCUUUCUAGAAUCUGGUGUUUCUCCCAUCCCCCAGUUUUUUUAACAUGCUGAUAAUAUAUAUUUUUAACUUUCAGAAGCCUAUCCCAAAAUUGGGAAUCACCCACUUUCUUUUUGAUCCCAGAUAUACAUUUAUUCUUCACAUAUUUGUUAAGAAGAAGAUCAAUCCAAAGUCCUUCUUCAAUUUCCAGCUUCCAAAACCACUUAGCUAAGAGGGCUUUGUUCAUGAGAUCCAAAUUUAGGAUUCCCAAGCCACCCUCCAUUUUUGGUAAACAACAGGUUUUUCAGUUCACCAAAUGGUACUUUUUUAUCUUCAUCUUCCUACCAAACUAAUCUAGCUAUGAAAAAUCAACUUUUUUCCUCACCCGUACAGGAAUAGGAUAAAAAGACAUCAUAAAAAUGGGUAUGUUAGUAAGACAUGAUUGAACCAGAGUCAGUCUCCCUGCCAUAUUUAAGAGUGUCCCCUACCAGCAAGCACAUCUCUUCUCAAUUUUUCAGUAACUAUUUUCCAAAACUUAUUACUCAGUCUCACAUCAGAAACAGGUAAACCUAGAUAUUUCAAUGGCACUUUACCUAGUUCACAUGUGAAAAUCUCCUGGUAUAUGUGUGCCUUUGCACUAGUAUCACCAAACAAGAAGAUUUCACUUCUGCGAAAAUUGAUAGUAGGUCCAGACAUUUGCUCAAAAGCACUGAGAAUGAAUUUCAAAUUUCUAGCACUUUCUUCAUCAUCUUGUAAUAGGAAUGUUAUGUCGUCAGCAUAUUGACUCCACUAUUGCCAAAUUCAGACAACACUCGCUUAACAAAACCAGAAUUCUUGGCUUUGUCCAAAAUGAUGGGCAAAGCAUCUGCUGCUAAAUCAAACAGCAGAGGACACAUGGAAUCUCCUUGUCUGAAACCUUUGCGAGUUUUGAAAUAAGGACCAAUAGCAUCAUUCACUUUCACGCCCACAUGUCCCCCAAUCAUGGUACCAGAUCACACCAUUGAUCAGCGAAAAUUUUCAGUUUUAACAUUUUAUAAACAAAGGGCCAUUUGAUUUUAUCAUAUUCUUUUUCAAAGUCUACCUUAAAAGAGGGGUGCACUUUGUUUCUUAUGAUGAUCACACCAUUGAUCAGCGAAAAUUUUCAGUUUUAACAUUUUAUAAACAAAGGGCCAUUUGAUUUUAUCAUAUUCUUUUUCAAAGUCUACCUUAAAAGAGGGGUGCACUUUGUUUCUUAUGAUGAAUUGUAUUAAGGGCCUCGUGUAACACCCCCCCCCCCCCUUCAUAAUGUAUCUCCCUCUAAUAAAGGUUGUUUGAGUGGGAGAAAUGAUGGGUUUAAUCACUCUACUCAGUCUGUUCGUCAACACUUAAGUGAUGAUUUUUAAGCUCACAUUCAAACGACAAACAUGCCCGAAUUUUUGAAUUUGUUUUGCAUCAGUCACUUUUGGAACCAAAGUGAUAAUGCCAUAGUUUAACCUAGAGAUAUCUAAAUCCCCAGAUGGGAAUCAUCAAGAAGUUUCUUGAGGUCCCACUUCACCAGGUCCCAGAAAUGCUGAUAGAAAUCAGCAUGAAAUCCAUCAGGCCAUGGGCUUUAGUUUUUCUCCAUUUUAAAAACGACAUCAUGUAGUUCUUUCAUAGAGAAAGGUUCCACUAGAUUGGUAGCAUCUUGCCUAGAGAUUGAUUCCAAGAGCAUUUUGAAUAUUCAAUCUAACUGUAGAUGGAUCAGCCUGACCAAACAGAAUUUUAAUAAACACUAGAAAUGUACUCCCUCUGUUCCGAAAUGUAUGUCGUUUAACGAUUUGGCGUACAAAAUUUCCUAGGCUACGAAAUUUCCUGAGUAUCCCAUUCUACCCCUGCCGACCGACACGUUCCCCUCUCUCUCGCCCGACGCCACCCACCACUCGUUCCCCACCACUCGUCUCUCUCUCGCGCGCGAUGCCGUCCUCUCCCCGUCGAUGUGCCCUCUCGCCGGCAUCUUGCUCCGCACCGUCGCCUAGCUCACCGCUCCCCAUGCAUCGCCGCCUAGCUCACCGCUCCCAACGCGCCACCCUCUCAAACUCCGGCAAUGCACUGCUGGGCGAGGAGUAGAUGCAGAAAGCUGCCAUUUUUAUGCGCCGGCAACGCGCUGGCGCUAGAUCUGAGUGCGUUGGCGCUCGAUCUGCUUCGUGGAGAGGCAUGAAGGAGGCGCUGAAGCGGAGCCGGAGCGGCGCCGGCGCGGGCGUGAAGACGGCGGCAGUAGGAGCUGGAGCCCGAGCAGGUGGAGGUGGAGCCGCAUCUGGACCUUGUACUGUAUCAAGAUGGAUGGAGUAGAGAGCCUAGAGUAGGAAAGAGCCUUGGACCGUAGCCAUGGACAGCGCAUGACAGAGCCAUGGACAGUGCAACAUCACAAACUUCAUUCCUGUAGAGCCUGAUGCAGCGCAGCAUCACAACCUUGAUGGAAGGAGGCCAGGCCAUGAAGAGAAAAGCUCCUGCCCAUAUCGAUUCAAGAGGAGAGGAGGGCCAUGGAGGGAGAAGCCUGCUGCUGCAAUACCUACCUUGUCGUCCUCAUGGUAUUCUCCAACUUCUCAUGAAGUUUGUGUAGCCUUCUGUUACUCAUGAAGCUUCUGUAGCCUCUGUUACACAUGAAGCUUCUGUAGCUUCACUAGCUUAUGAAUCUUCUUUAGCUUCUGUAGAUUAACAAAGAAGUUUCUCAUGAAUUCAUCACUAUGAAUCUUCUCAUGAAGCUUCUAUUACUCCAA